AUUGCAUCAGAGAGGACUCAGAAUAUGGAGAGGAAAAGAGGAGUGAGGAAGAAUAACAGAACAAUGGACAAUAAGUCACUGAAAUGUUCCUUUGAGGAUUUCUAGGGAGAGCAAUAGACUGAGAAAAAUGCUGCCCUGCAGCACAGAGCAUCUUGUCACCGUGAUCCUCCUCAUCAUCACAGGAUGUGCACCCGGGAUCUGCCUCCAGAGCUCUGACUCAUCCUUAGCCCGGGUAAAGUACAUCAAGAUUUUACUUGCUGGUGUCUCUGUAGAGAAGUCCAAAGACAGGGAAAGGAGUGCAUUUCCCAUCACCUUCACUGACACCCCUCAGAGCAUUUGGUGCUGAGUGAGGCCACCUGCUGGGAGAGAUCCAGCCUGGAGCCACAGCCGGGGGUUUCAUGGCAUGGGACAGGCAGAGCUCACCUUCAGAAGGCUCAGUUUAAAACUCCUGACUCCAAGUGCUGCUCCACGUGCUUUCUGACUCCUUUAUCUGCAAAGCUCCUGCCUUCUCCUGUCACACAUUGAGUCCAGCUGCCUCAGAGCUGCUGCCCCACACAAUCUUCUCUGCAGCACACGUGGGACCUCUUCAGCGUCUUGGCUUUCAUCUGCUGUGGAAGCUGAAUGGGGGAGGUAGUGAUGGAACUGCCAGCAAAGCCUGUGAGGACCAGAUAACAAUGAGGUGAUAGUACACAAAUGUCAGCCUUCAUCAAAUUAAUCCCAGGACAGUCACCCGGAUGCGUUUACAGCAGAUAAUCUAAACACAAACACAACUGUUCUAAUCUCUGCCCUGGUGACUCACCAGCAGAUGCUGAACACAGCCCUGUUAACCUCAAGGCAAAGAUCAGCAUCUGUUCCAGAGCUGUUUGGAAGGUCCUGGAAUCUAUUUCUUUUCCAUCUUUUUAUCGUGGUUCCAUGGCCUGCAGCCCUCCAGACACACCAAGUGUGGGCUUUUCUUCCUUUUUCUGGAGACUCUGAAGUUUGGCUGCUUGUUGGCACAAGGUGCUGAGUGAAGGGAAUUCUGCAGCGUCUUCCUGGUAGAGAAACAAAGGCUGAUCGCUGCAGGUUAAAGCUUGAACUCAGCAAGGAAAAGCCAAGUCCAGUCAUUUCUGAGGAGUCAGUAUCCUGAGGAACAGUGACUUUCCUUCUGCAAAAUUAAACUGCAGAGUAGCAGAUCACCAGGUUCAACUUCUAAUAGACUGAACAUCAGCUACAGUCCCAGGCUGUGUGGAAAUCCAAGUGGUUUUCUCUGAGCAGACCCCGUUAGUUUCCAGUUACGGACAACUGACAGAAUCAUCUGUGAAACCGGUUACCUUCAGGAAAAAUGAUUCCUUAGUCUCCCUGGCUCUAUCAGCGACAUUUACUGCUUGUUCUAGUAGUAACAAAGCCAUCUACUGCUAAGGUAUGGUUUUAUUUCUUGUUUUAGGGGACCUUCAAAUACAAUUUCACUUGUCCUUGGUGUGAUGUCUCCAUGAACGGAUCUUAUUCUGGUGACAGGUGAACUGUACCUGCAUGGAUAUAAAUAUUUAAUGCUGUUCUGCAAACUCAAACCACAGACAGCAGUGAUGUCCCUCUUGUUAAAGUGGUCAAACAGAAGUUCUGUAAGGAAUUGUAUAAAUUGAAACUACAACAAAUCUGGGUUGAGAGAGCACUCCCCUCUUACCCUCCUCUUCAGCGUGCCUGGAAUUCCUCAUCCUCAGCAACCCAGCACUGCCAAGGCCACCACUAAUCCACAUCCCCAAGCGUCACAUCCACACGGCUUUUAAAUCCCCCCAG